rnacentral:rRNA from 1 species
CUGGCGCACGGGUGAGUAACGCGUGGGAACCUGCCCAAUGGUCUGGGAUAACCGCGGGAAACUGCGGCUAAUACCGGAUAAGCCCGAGAGGGGAAAGAUUUAUCGCCGAUGGAGGGGCCCGCGUCAGAUUAGGUAGUUGGUAGGGUAAAGGCCUACCAAGCCGACGAUCAGUAGCUGGUCUGAGAGGACGAUCAGCCACACUGGAACUGAGACACGGUCCAGACUCC